UCCAGGAAGUAAAGAAGGGCACAUGGUGGAUGCCUAGGCUCUCGGAGGCGAAGAAGGACGUGAUAAGCUGCGAAAAGCCGCGCGUAGGUGCAAAUAACCUGUGAUGCGCGGAUCUCCGAAUGGGACAACCCGUCAUCCUGAAGGGAUGACAUCCGUCAAAGACGGAGGCGAACGCGGGGAACUGAAACAUCUUAGUACCCGCAGGAAAAGAAAAUAAGAAUGAUUCCCCCAGUAGUGGCGAGCGAACGGGGAAGAGCCCAAAC
rnacentral:rRNA from 1 species